AGCGAACGCUGGCGGCAGGCCUAACACAUGCAAGUCGAACGAAGUCUUCGGACUUAGUCGCUGACGAGUGAGUAACACGAGGGAACGUGCAUUUAGGUUCGGCAUAACUCAGGGAGACUUGUGCUAAUCCCGAAUGUGCCCUUCGGGGGCAAGAGUUAUCGCCUUUAGAGCUGCCCGCGUCUGAAUAGGGAGUUGGUGAGGUAAAGGCGCACAAAGGCUACGGUCAGUAGCUGGUCUGAGAGAAUGACCAGCCACAUUGGGACUGAGACACGGCACAAACUCCUACGGGAGGCAGCAGUGGGGAAUCUUGCGCAAUGGGCGAAAGCCUGACGCAGCCAUGCCGCGUGGAUGAUGAAGGUCUUAGGAUUGUAAAGUCCUUUCACCGGUGAAGAUAAUGACGGUAGCCGGAGAAGAAGCCCCGGCUAACUUCGUGCCAGCCGCCGCGGUAAGAC
rnacentral:rRNA from 1 species